AGACCAGCUCCAUCGACGAGUUCAGGAGAGGUUCUAAGGGAAAAAAGACAAAAAAAAUAAAUGAAAAAUGCAAAAAUAUGAAAGAACCGGUGUUUAAUUAGGAGAAAGUAGAAGUGGUAAAAACCCCUAAUGUGGCGGAUCCGUAUUGGCUUAAAAAAAGAGUGUGAAAUCAGUUUCUCUCCUUCGCCGUGCUUUGUGCGAAAUCAGUUUCUCUUCUUCCUCCAUUCUCGAUCACUCCGUCUCCUCUCUCGAAUCUCAUCUCAUCCUUCUGGGUUAGGCAAAAUCUCCUUCUGAAGCUAUGAUGAAGAUCAGAAGGGAAGAAGGCUUCAAGAGAAUGAUUGUUUCUGGAAAUCGAUGGUGGGAAUGAGCGUUCAACGGGAAGCCGACGAAGACGGCAAGAUCUCACGGGAAGAAGUUUCAGGUCACGGUGGAGAAGGAGACAUCAAGGAUUUUGUUGUAGAGCCUGAUUGGGAAGUUUUAUUGAAACUGAUUGGGAAGUUUUGUGAAUGUAAUGUCUUAUGUGUUGGACUUGUACAAAAGAAAAGCUACUUGUCCUUGGUGGAAAUGGGUUUGUGGGAUCACAUGUCUGUAAAGAAGCUUUAGAUUGCGGCUUAUCUGUCUCUAGCCUUACCAGAUCAGGUAGGUCGUCUGUACAAGAGUCAUGGGCUUCCAGAGUUACAUGGCAUCAAGGUACUUGUUGGAUCACCUCAAUAUAUCUUCUAAAACACUUCCAUCUUACUAUUUGGUUCUCGUGUAUUAGUUUUCGUUUGUCUUCUCAAAUACUUGUAAAAAUCUAAAACACUUCCAUCUUACCAAUUGCUUCAAUGUCAAAAGAAAAAAAAUUAAGAACUUCA